CUGCCAGACUCCUACGGGAGGCAGCAGUGGGGAAUAUUGCACAAUGGGGGAAACCCUGAUGCAGCGACGCCGCGUGAGCGAUGAAGUAUUUCGGUAUGUAAAGCUCUAUCAGCAGGGAAGAAAAUGACGGUACCUGACUAAGAAGCCCCGGCUAACUACGUGCCAGCAGCCGCGGUAAUACGUAGGGGGCAAGCGUUAUCCGGAUUUACUGGGUGUAAAGGGAGCGUAGACGGCGGUGCAAGCCAGAUGUGAAAGCCCGGGGCUCAACCCCGGGACUGCAUUUGGAACUGUGCUGCUAGAGUGUCGGAGAGGCAGGCGGAAUUCCUAGUGUAGCGGUGAAAUGCGUAGAUAUUAGGAGGAACACCAGUGGCGAAGGCGGCCUGCUGGACGAUGACUGACGUUGAGGCUCGAAAGCGUGGGGAGCAAACAGGAUUAGAUACCCCGGUA
rnacentral:rRNA from 1 species